rnacentral:tRNA from 1 species
GCCAGUAUUGCUCAGUUGUUAGAGCAUUGGCCCUCAGACCCAAGGGUUGUGGGUUCAAUUCCCAGUGAAAGGCA